CUGUCUUUGAAUUUCUUAUUUUACCUCAUUUGGUUAAACCACACAAGUCCAGUGCUUGGAACUUCCGUUUUCUUAUCUCGAACAUCAUGUACUGUUCCAGCCCACAGCCAGCCACCCAGGAAGGAAGCAUUUUGUUCCUUUUAGACAGAGGGUCUGGCGGGCCAUGUGGCCACGCUGUGGAAAAGCUCUGCUCCAGUGAUUGAGCUCCUCUGGCACCCUGAGAUAUAAUAUUGAGUGCACUUUUCUACCCUGUUUCCCCGAAAAUAAGACAUCCUUCGAAAAUAAGACCUACUUACAGGAAAGAUUAGACGUGCCCUGAAAAUAAGACCUAGCGCAUCUUUGGGAGCACACCUUAAAAUAAGACACUGUCUUAUUUUUGGGGAAACAGGGCAAUUUGGAUUCAUUGAGACCAUAAAGGUCUGGAAGCUCUAAAAUGUUGGUUCAAUUCCCAGCUCUGACACAAAGAAGCUAAACAAACUACAAGAGAAUAUGUAGAAAAAUCAACCACAACUUUCCUCUGUGAACACAGGGCUGGGGUGCCACUGGGACACUGUGUGGCAUUUUUAAAACUUGUUCUCCAAAUGCUGAUUAUUCACCACUUGGCAUUCCAGAUUUUGUCUCUGGUCAUCAGUAAAUUGAUUGCUAACAGAACGAUGAUACCAUUUUAACUUUUAAAUAUGGGUUUC